UACGUAGGCAGCAAGCGUUGUUCGGAAUUACUGGGCGUAAAGAGUUCGUAGGCGGUGCGGCAAGUUCGGUGUGAAAUCUCCCGGCUCAACUGGGAGGGUGCGCUAAAUACUGCCGUGCUCGAGUAUAGGAGAGGUAAGCGGAAUUCCUGGUGUAGCGGUGAAAUGCGUAGAUAUCUGGAGGAAUACCGGUGGCGAAGGCGGCAUCCUGGACCGACAUUGACGCUGAGGAGCGAAAGCUAGGGGAGCAAACGGG
rnacentral:rRNA from 1 species